rnacentral:rRNA from 1 species
UACGGGGGGAGCAAGCGUUGUUCGGAAUCACUGGGCGUAAAGGGUGUCUAGGCGGUCAGGUAAGUGAGAUGUGAAAUGCCCCGGCUUACCCGGGGACCUGCAUCUCAUACUGUCUGGCUUGAGUAUGGGAGAGGAUGAGGGAAUUCCUGGUGUAGCGGUGAAAUGCGUAGAUAUCAGGAGGAACACCGGUGGCGAAAGCGCUCAUCUGGCCCAAUACUGACGCUGAAGCACGAAAGCUAGGGGAGCAAACGGG